rnacentral:rRNA from 1 species
UACGGGGGGGGCGAAGCGUUGUUCGGAAUUACUGGGCGUAAAGGGCUCGUAGGCGGCCAACUAAGUCAGACGUGAAAUCCCUCGGCUUAACCGGGGAACUGCGUCUGAUACUGGAUGGCUUGAGUUUGGGAGAGGGAUGCGGAAUUCCAGGUGUAGCGGUGAAAUGCGUAGAUAUCUGGAGGAACACCGGUGGCGAAGGCGGGUCUCUGGGCCGAUACUGACGCUGAGGAGCGAAAGCGUGGGGGAGCGAACAGG